rnacentral:rRNA from 1 species
AUUGAACGCUGGCGGCACGCUUAACACAUGCAAGUCGAACGGCAGCGCGGGGAGCUUGCUCCCUGGCGGCGAGUGGCGGACGGGUGAGUAACGCGUGGGAAUCUGCCCAGUAGUGGGGGACAACCCGAGGAAACUCGGGCUAAUACCGCAUACGCCCUACGGGGAAAGCGGGGGAUCUUCGGACCUCGUGCUAUUGGAUGAGCCCGCGUCGGAUUAGCUUGUUGGUGGGGUAACGGCUUACCAAGGCGACGAUCCGUAGCUGGUCUGAGAGGACGACCAGCCACACUGGGACUGAGACACGGCCCAGACUCCUACGGGAGGCAGCAGUGGGGAAUAUUGGACAAUGGGCGCAAGCCUGAUCCAGCAAUGCCGCGUGUGUGAAGAAGGCCCUAGGGUUGUAAAGCACUUUCAGUCGGGAAGAAACGCAGGGUGUUAAUACCACCCUGUAAUGACGUUACCGACAGAAGAAGCACCGGCUAACUCCGUG